GACGAACGCUGGCGGCGUGCUUAACACAUGCAAGUCGAACGGGAGUAUUGAAGAAGCUUGCUUUAGAGAUACUUUAGUGGCGGACGGGUGAGUAACGCGUGAGGAGCUGUCCUAUGCAGGGGGACAACAGCUGGAAACGGCUGCUAAUACCCCAUAAGCCGAGAGGUAAAAGGAUCAAUCCGGCAGAGGAGGUACUCGCGUCCUAUCAGCUAGUAGGUGAGGUAACGGCUCACCUAGGCGAAGACGGGUAGCCGGCCUGAGAGGGCGAACGGCCACACUGGAACUGAGAUACGGUCCAGACUCCUACGGGAGGCAGCAGUGGGGAAUAUUGGGCAAUGGGGGAAACCCUGACCCAGCGACGCCGCGUGGGUGAAGAAAUCCUUCGGGAUGUAAAGCCCUGUUGUAUGGGAAGAGCGGAAGACGGUACCAUACGAGGAAGCCCCGGCAAACUACGUGCCAGCAGCCGCGGUAAAACGUCUGCUG
rnacentral:rRNA from 1 species